CUGGACUUUUUGGCAUGCAUGAGUUAGUGUGCAGUAUGUAUAUAACUAUUAGUAUAUGUGUUUGUCGGUGUUACAUGGCGUGUUUGUGUAUGGAGGUAGUGUGCAGAGAGUAUAUGACUAUUAGUAUGUGUUUGUCAGUGUUACAUGGCGUGUUUGUGUAUGGAGGUAGUGUGCAGAGAGUAUAUGACUAUUAGUAUGUGUUUGUCAGUGUUACAU